rnacentral:lncRNA from 1 species
UUUGUCUAACCGAUGUCAAAUCCGUCAACUUUAAUUGAAAAUUCCUGGUAUAAAAAUGAUCAUGAAAUUUUUGCUAUAAUUAUUCCCAUGAAUCAAUAGAGCCGGGAGCUAAGGACUUGUACCAAGCGAAAGCGGUUCCGGUUAAUGACAAGGAAAAUAAAUGAACGUGCAAAGCAUAUAAUAUCCCGCCUCGCCUAGCUGAGCCAGAUAUCCCAAGUAGUUCGGUUAUCU